UACGUAGGGUGCAAGCGUUGUCCGGAAUUAUUGGGCGUAAAGAGCUCGUAGGCGGUCUGUCACGUCGGCUGUGAAAACCCGAGGCUCAACCUCGGGCCUGCAGUUGAUACGGGCAAACUAGAGUGUUGCAGGGGAGACUGGAAUUCCUGGUGUAGCGGUGAAAUGCGCAGAUAUCAGGAGGAACACCGGUGGCGAAGGCGGGUCUCUGGGCAACAACUGACGCUGAGGAGCGAAAGCGUGGGGAGCGAACAGG
rnacentral:rRNA from 1 species